rnacentral:tRNA from 1 species
GCGGACGUGGUGGAACUGGUAGACACGCUAUCUUGAGGGGGUAGUGGCGAAAGCCGUGUGGGUUCGAGUCCCACCGUCCGCA